rnacentral:lncRNA from 1 species
UAUUUCCAUUAAACCUGGUACUGAUGAUUCAUGGCUUACAUCAGAUGCUGAAGACUUAAAUUUUGGUAUCCAGGAAGGAGAGGUGCAGCUGGCAAUUGGAAAACAGGAUGAUGGUAUUAGUAUUACUGAAAGUGCUCCACAAGAGCAGUUAACGACAGUCUGACUUCUGCUGAUAGAGCAUACAAAAGUAAUAGUAGUGUUAUGAUGUCAGCAUUAGGAUUAGGAGAAGAGGAAGAUGGAGAAUCACCUUGGGAUUGUGAGAGUAUUUCUGAGAGUCUUCCAAAGAAAAACAUUAAACGUUUAUCUGGAGCUGCGGAUCAGAAAGGACCACGUAUAUUAAAUGAAGAAGUAGAAGAUUCUCCUAAAAUAUAUCCUUACGUGAAGGUAAAACUUUUAUAUUUUUAUUUUG